AUUGAACGCUGGCGGCAUGCCUUACACAUGCAAGUCGAACGGCAGCGGACCUUCGGGUGCCGGCGAGUGGCGAACGGGUGAGUAUUAUAUCGGAACGUACCUUUCAGUGGGGGAUAACGUAGCGAAAGUUACGCUAAUACCGCAUAUUCUGUGAGCAGGAAAGCAGGGGAUCGCAAGACCUUGCGCUGAUUGAGCGGCCGAUAUCAGAUUAGCUAGUUGGUGAGGUAAAGGCUCACCAAGGCGACGAUCUGUAGCGGGUCUGAGAGGAUGAUCCGCCACACUGGAACUGAGACACGGUCCAGACUCCUACGGGAGGCAGCAGUGGGGAAUUUUGGACAAUGGGCGCAAGCCUGAUCCAGCCAUGCCGCGUGAGUGAAGAAGGCCUCGGUUGUAAG
rnacentral:rRNA from 1 species